GACAGAGGGGGCAAACGUUGUUCAGAUUUACUGGGCGUAAAGCGUGUGUAGGCGGCUGCGUAAGUCGGAUGUGAAAGCCCUGGGCUCAACUCAGGAAGUGCACUCGAUACUGCGUAGCUCGAGUACCGGAGAGGUUGGUGGAAUUCUCGGUGUAGAGGUGAAAUUCGUAGAUAUCGAGAGGAACACCUGUGGCGAAGGCGGCCAACUGGACGAGUACUGACACUGAGACACGAAAGCGUGGGGAGCAAACAGG
rnacentral:rRNA from 1 species